GGAUUAGAUACCCUGGUAGUCCACGCCGUAAACGAUGUCUAUUAGGAGGUUGUGAGCUUGACUCGUGGCUUCCAAAGCUAACGCAUUAAAUAGACCGCCUGGGGAGUACGGCCGCAAGGUUAAAACUCAAAUGAAUUGACGGGGGCCCGCACAAGCGGUGGAGCAUGUGGUUUAAUUCGAUGCAACGCGAAGAACCUUACCUACUCUUGACAUCCAGAGAACUUUCCAGAGAUGGAUUGGUGCCUUCGGGAACUCUGAGACAGGUGCUGCAUGGCUGUCGUCAGCUCGUGCCG
rnacentral:rRNA from 1 species